GAUGAACGCUGGCGGCGUGCCUAAUACAUGCAAGUCGAGCGAAUGGAUUAAGAGCUUGCUCUUAUGAAGUUAGCGGCGGACGGGUGAGUAACACGUGGGUAACCUGCCCAUAAGACUGGGAUAACUCCGGGAAACCGGGGCUAAUACCGGAUAACAUUUUGAACCGCAUGGUUCGAAAUUGAAAGACGGCUUCGGCUGUCACUUAUGGAUGGACCCGCGUCGCAGUAGCUAGUUGGUGAGGUAACGGCCCACCAAGGCAACGAUGCGUAGCCGACCUGAGAGGGUGAUCGGCCACACUGGUACUGAGACACGGCCCAGAAUCCUACGGGAGGCAGCAGUAGGGAAUCUUCCGCAAUGGACGAAAGUCUGACGGAGCAACGCCGCGUGAGUGAUGAAGGCUUUCGGGUCGUAAAACUCUGUUGUUAGGGAAGAACAAGUGCUAGUUGAAUAAGCUGGCACCUUGACGGUACCUAACCAGAAAGCCACGGCUAACUACGUGCCAGCCGCCGCAGUAA
rnacentral:rRNA from 1 species